rnacentral:lncRNA from 1 species
AAAAUUCGGCCCAUUCCUUCUCUUUUCUUUAAAAUUUUCGGCCCAGCCAUUAGAGGUUUAAGCCCAAUUAAAAAAAUAAAGCCUAAUCCUAAAAUAUAACACACACAUAACACACCAACACACACACAAGCUUCUCUCUCUCUAACUCUCGGCUCUCUCCCGGCUCUCUCUCUGCUCUACCUCUGCUCGGUCGAGUGCGGCGCCGCCUCCGGCGCGCCGCCUCGCCGAGCGCCUCCCUUCCCCUCUCUCAUCUCUUCCUUCUUUCCCUCUGGCCCUCUCUUCCCUUGCUUUUCUCUCUCUCUCUUUCAGCCUCCUUUCUCUACCUCUCUCACUCUGUCUCGCCGGAAGUCA